GACGAACGCUGGCGGCGUGCCUAAUACAUGCAAGUCGAACGCUGAAGGAGGAUCUUGCUUCUCUGGAUGAGUUGCGCACGGGUGAGUAACGCGUAGGUAACCUGCCUGGUAUCGGGGGAUAACUAUUGGAAACGAUAGCUAAUACCGCAUAUUAGUAGAUGUUGCAUGACAUUUGCUUAAAAGUUGCAAUUGCUUCUCUGCCAGAUGGACCUGCGUUGUAUUGGCUCGUUGGUGUGGUAACGGCUAACCAAGGCGACGAUACAUAGCCGGCAGGAGAGGGGGGAGGGCGAAAAUGGGAAGGGGAAAAGGGACAGAGUCCUGAGGGAGGCAGGAGGAAGGAAUGUUGGGAAAUGGACGGAAGGCUGAAGGAGGAAGGACGGGUGAGUGGAGAAGGAUUUCGGAUCGUAAAGCGCUGUUGUAAGAGAAGAACGAGUGAGAGAGUGGAAAGUAAACACGGUGACGGUAGCGGAAGAGAAAGGGACGGCUAACUACGUG
rnacentral:rRNA from 1 species